rnacentral:snoRNA from 1 species
GAGCCCUAGUGAGAAGUUAUGGGAUUUUUAAAAAUUACAUUCCAGUGCUACAGCAGCCCCACUGCCACCACACUGACCGCCUGAUGGUGGCUCUCAGUGUCAGGUCUUGGACACAAGC